UCGAACGGUAACAGGAAGCAGCUUGCUGCUUUGCUGACGAGUGGCGGACGGGUGAGUAAUGUCUGGGAAACUGCCUGAUGGAGGGGGAUAACUACUGGAAACGGUGGCUAAUACCGCAUAACGUCGCAAGACCAAAGAGGGGGACCUUCGGGCCUCUUGCCAUCAGAUGUGCCCAGAUGGGAUUAGCUUGUUGGUGAGGUAACGGCUCACCAAGGCGACGAUCCCUAGCUGGUCUGAGAGGAUGACCAGCCACACUGGAACUGAGACACGGUCCAGACUCCUACGGGAGGCAGCAGUGGGGAAUAUUGCACAAUGGGCGCAAGCCUGAUGCAGCCAUGCCGCGUGUAUGAAGAAGGCCUUCGGGUUGUAAAGUACUUUCAGCGGGGAGGAAGGUGUUGUGGUUAAUAACCGCAGCAAUUGACGUUACCCGCAGAAGAAGCACCGGCUAACUCCGUGCCAGCAGCCGCGGUAAUACGGAGGGUGCAAGCGUUAAUCGGAAUUACUGGGCGUAAAGCGCACGCAGGCGGUCUGUCAAGUCGGAUGUGAAAUCCCCGGGCUCAACCUGGGAACUGCAUUCGAAACUGGCAGGCUUGAGUCUUGUAGAGGGGGGUAGAAUUCCAGGUGUAGCGGUGAAAUGCGUAGAGAUCUGGAGGAAUACCGGUGGCGAAGGCGGCCCCCUGGACAAAGACUGACGCUCAGGUGCGAAAGCGUGGGGAGCAAACAGGAUUAGAUACCCUGGUAGUCCACGCCGUAAACGAUGUCUACUUGGAGGUUGUGCCCUUGAGGCGUGGCUUCCGGAGCUAACGCGUUAAGUAGACCGCCUGGGGAGUACGGCCGCAAGGUUAAAACUCAAAUGAAUUGACGGGGGCCCGCACAAGCGGUGGAGCAUGUGGUUUAAUUCGAUGCAACGCGAAGAACCUUACCUGGUCUUGACAUCCACAGAACUUUCCAGAGAUGGAUUGGUGCCUUCGGGAACUGUGAGACAGGUGCUGCAUGGCUGUCGUCAGCUCGUGUUGUGAAAUGUUGGGUUAAGUCCCGCAACGAGCGCAACCCUUAUCCUUUGUUGCCAGCGGUCCGGCCGGGAACUCAAAGGAGACUGCCAGUGAUAAACUGGAGGAAGGUGGGGAUGACGUCAAGUCAUCAUGGCCCUUACGACCAGGGCUACACACGUGCUACAAUGGCGCAUACAAAGAGAAGCGACCUCGCGAGAGCAAGCGGACCUCAUAAAGUGCGUCGUAGUCCGGAUUGGAGUCUGCAACUCGACUCCAUGAAGUCGGAAUCGCUAGUAAUCGUGGAUCAGAAUGCCACGGUGAAUACGUUCCCGGGCCUUGUACACACCGCCCGUCACACCAUGGGAGUGGGUUGCAAAAGAAGUAGGUAGCUUAACCUUCGGGAGGGCGCUUACCACUUUGUGAUUCAUGACUGGGGUGAAGUCGUAACAAGGUAACCGUAGGGGAACCUGCGGUUGGAUCACCUCCUUACCUUAAAGAA
rnacentral:rRNA from 1 species